rnacentral:rRNA from 1 species
AGGCCCUACGGGCGCAGCAGNCGCGAAAACUUUACAAUGCGCGCAAGCGCGAUAAGGGGACCCCGAGUGCGAGGGCAUAACGUCCUCGCUUUUGUAUAUCGUAAGAAGAUAUACGAAUAAGGGCUGGGCAAGACCGGUGCCAGCCGCCGCGGUAAUACCGGCAGCUCGAGUGAUGAUCACUAUUAUUGGGCCNAAGCGUCCGUAGCCGGUUGAACAAGUCCUUCGGCAAAUCCACUCGCUCAACGAGUGGGCUCUCGAGGGAAACUGUUCGACUUGGGGCCGGGAGAUCUGAGGGGUACGUCUAGGGUAGGAGUGAAAUCCUGUAAUCCUAGACGGACCGCCGGUGGCGAAAGCGCCUCAGAAGAACGGACCCGACGGUCAGGGACGAAAGCUAGGGUCUCGAACCGGAUUAGAUACCCGGGUAGUCCUAGCCGUAAACGAUGCUCGCUAGGUGUUGCGAAAGCUACGUGCUUUUGCUGUGCCGUAGGGAAGCCGUGAAGCGAGCCGCCUGGGAAGUACGUCCGCAAGGAUGAAACUUAAAGGAAUUGGCGGGGGAGCACUACAACCGGAGGAGCCUGCGGUUUAAUUGGACUCAACGCCGGAAAUCUCACCAGUACCGACAAUUGCAGUGACAGUCAAGUUGAUGACUUUACUCGAGCUCUUGAGAGGAGGUGCAUGGCCGCCGUCAGCUCGUACCGUGAGGCGUCCUGUUAAGUCAGGCAACGAGCGAGACCCACAUCUCUAAUUGCCAGCAGCAUCCAUGUGAUGGCUGGGUACAUUAGAGAGACUGCCGUCGUUAAGGCGGAGGAAGGAAUGGGCAACGGUAGGUCAGUAUGCCCCGAAUGUACUGGGCUACACGCGGGCUACAAUGGCCGGGACAAUGGGAUGCAACCCCGAGAGGGGAAGCUAAUCUCCUAAACCCGGUCUUAGUUCGGAUUGAGGGCUGAAACUCGCCCUCAUGAAGCUGGAUUCGGUAGUAAUCGCGUCUCAAUANGGCGCGGUGAAUACGUCCCUGCUCCUUGCACACACCGCCCGUCAAAGCACCCGA